rnacentral:rRNA from 1 species
UACGAAGGGGGCAAGCGUUGUUCGGAAUGACUGGGCGUAAAGGGCGCGUAGGCGGUUCGUUGCGUCAGAUGUGAAAGCCCCGGGCUCAACCUGGGAACUGCAUUUGAUACGGGCGGGCUUGAAUCCAAGAGAGGGUGGUGGAAUUCCCAGUGUAGAGGUGAAAUUCGUAGAUAUUGGGAAGAACACCAGUGGCGAAGGCGGCCACCUGGCUUGGUAUUGACGCUGAGGCGCGAAAGCGUGGGGAGCAAACGGG